rnacentral:rRNA from 1 species
UACGUAGGGUGCAAGCGUUAAUCGGAAUUACUGGGCGUAAAGCGUGCGCAGGCGGUUUUGUAAGUUUGUCGUGAAAGCCCCGGGCUCAACCUGGGAAUGGCGAUGAAGACUGCAAGGCUUGAAUCUGGCAGAGGGGGGUAGAAUUCCACGUGUAGCAGUGAAAUGCGUAGAGAUGUGGAGGAACACCGAUGGCGAAGGCAGCCCCCUGGGUCAAGAUUGACGCUCGUGCACGAAAGCGUGGGGAGCAAACAGG